rnacentral:rRNA from 1 species
GUGGGGAAUCUUCCGCAAUGGACGAAAGUCUGACGGAGCGACGCCGCGUGAGUGAAGAAGGCCUUCGGGUCGUAAAGCUCUGUCAUCAGGGACGAACGGCCGGUGGAGUGGAAAGCCACCGGAUUGACGGUACCUGAGAAGGAAGCCACGGCUAACUACGUGCCAGCAGCCGCGGUAAUACGUAGGUGGCAAGCGUUGUCCGGAAUUAUUUGGCGUAAAGCGCGCGCAGGUGGGAUCUUAAGUCCAUUUUUAAAGUUCGGAGCUCAACUCCGUGAUGGGAUGGAAACUGGGAUUCUUGAGUACCGGAGAGGAAAGCGGAAUUCCCCGUGUAGCGGUGAAAUGCGUAGAUAUGGGGAGGAACACCAGUGGCGAAGGCGGCUUUCUGGACGGUGUCUGACACUGAGGCGCGAAAGCCAGGGGAGCGAACGGGAUUAGAUACCCGAGUAGUCC